rnacentral:rRNA from 1 species
CUCGAGGCCAGAUCUAGAGUUUGAUCCUGGCUGAGAUUGAACGCUGGCGGCAUGCCUUACACAUGCAAGUCGAACGGCAGCAUAGGAGCUUGCUCCUGAUGGCGAGUGGCGAACGGGUGAGUAAUAUAUCGGAACGUGCCCUAGAGUGGGGGAUAACUAGUCGAAAGACUAGCUAAUACCGCAUACGAUCUACGGAUGAAAGUGGGGGAUCGCAAGACCUCAUGCUCCUGGAGCGGCCGAUAUCUGAUUAGCUAGUUGGUGGGGUAAAAGCCUACCAAGGCGACGAUCAGUAGCUGGUCUGAGAGGACGACCAGCCACACUGGGACUGAGACACGGCCCAGACUCCUACGGGAGGCAGCAGUGGGGAAUUUUGGACAAUGGGGGCAACCCUGAUCCAGCAAUGCCGCGUGAGUGAAGAAGGCCUUCGGGUUGUAAAGCUCUUUUGUCAGGGAAGAAACGGUAGUAGCUAAUAUCUAUUACUAAUGACGGUACCUGAAGAAUAAGCACCGGCUAACUACGUGCCAGCAGCCGCGGUAAUACGUAGGGUGCAAGCGUUAAU